rnacentral:rRNA from 1 species
AUUGAACGCUGGCGGCAGGCCUAACACAUGCAAGUCGAACGAGUGGCGGACGGGUGAGUAAUGUCUGGGAAACUGCCUGAUGGAGGGGGAUAACUACUGGAAACGGUAGCUAAUACCGCAUACCAUCGGAUGUGCCCAGAUGGGAUUGGCUAGUAGGUGGGGUAAAGGCUCACCUAGGCGACGAACCCUAGCUGGUCUGAGAGGAUGAACAGCCACACUGGAGCUGAGACACGGUCCAGAUGCAUACGAGAGGCAGCAGGGGGGAAGAUUGCACAAUGGGCGAAAGACGGAUGCAGCCGUGCCGCGUGUAGGAAGAAGGCAUUCGGGUUGUAAAGUACUUUCCGCGGGGAGGCGUUACCCGCAGAAGAAGCACCUGCUAACUCCGUGCAAGCAGCCGCGGUAAUAC